CACAGGUGGUCGGGUAGAGAAUACCAAGGCGCUUGAGAGAACUCGGGUGAAGGAACUAGGCAAAAUGGUACCGUAACUUCGGGAGAAGGUACGCUCUUGAUGGUGAAGUCCCUCGCGGAUGGAGCUGACGAGAGUCGCAGAUACCAGGUGGCUGCAACUGUUUAUUAAAAACACAGCACUGUGCAAAAUCGCAAGAUGACGUAUACGGUGUGACGCCUGCCCGGUGCCGGAAGGUUAAUUGAUGGGGUUAGCGCAAGCGAAGCUCUUGAUCGAAGCCCCGGUAAACGGCGGCCGUAACUAUAACGGUCCUAAGGUAGCGAAAUUCCUUGUCGGGUAAGUUCCGACCUGCACGAAUGGCGUAAUGAUGGCCACGCUGUCUCCACCCGAGACUCAGUGAAAUUGAAAUCGCUGUGAAGAUGCAGUGUACCCGCGGCUAGACGGAAAGACCCCGUGAACCUUUACUACAGCUUGGCACUGAACAUUGAACCUACAUGUGUAGGAUAGGUGGGAGGCUAUGAAGACGUGACGCCAGUUGCGUUGGAGCCGUCCUUGAAAUACCACCCUUGUAUGUUUGAUGUUCUAACUUAGACCCGUUAUCCGGGUUGAGGACAGUGCCUGGUGGGUAGUUUGACUGGGGCGGUCUCCUCCCAAAGAGUAACGGAGGAGCACGAAGGUGGGCUAAUCACGGUUGGACAUCGUGAGGUUAGUGCAAUGGCAUAAGCCCGCUUAACUGCGAGAAUGACGGUUCGAGCAGGUGCGAAAGCAGGUCAUAGUGAUCCGGUGGUUCUGUAUGGAAGGGCCAUCGCUCAACGGAUAAAAGGUACUCCGGGGAUAACAGGCUGAUACCGCCCAAGAGUUCAUAUCGACGGCGGUGUUUGGCACCUCGAUGUCGGCUCAUCACAUCCUGGGGCUGAAGUCGGUCCCAAGGGUAUGGCUGUUCGCCAUUUAAAGUGGUACGCGAGCUGGGUUUAGAACGUCGUGAGACAGUUCGGUCCCUAUCUGCCGUGGGCGUUGGAAGAUUGAAGGGGGCUGCUCCUAGUACGAGAGGACCGGAGUGGACGAACCUCUGGUGUUCGGGUUGUGUCGCCAGACGCAUUGCCCGGUAGCUAAGUUCGGAAUUGAUAAGCGCUGAAAGCAUCUAAGCGCGAAGCGAGCCCUGAGAUGAGUCUUCCCUGAUACUU
rnacentral:rRNA from 1 species